GACAGAGGAGCCAAGCGUUGUCCGGAGUAACUGGGCGUAAAGCGCACGCAGGUGGUUCUGUGCGUGGGGUGUGAAAGCUCUCGGCUUAACUGAGAGAGGCCACCUCAUACGGCAGAACUGGAGCCCUGCAGAGGUCCACGGAAUUGCCGGUGUAGUGGUGAAAUGCGUAGAGAUCGGCAGGAACACCCGUGGCGCAAGCGGCCACCUAGCCCGUUGCUGACGCUGAGGCGCGACAGCGUGGGGAGCGAACUGG
rnacentral:rRNA from 1 species